CGUCAGGGCACACGCCGCUGGCCUCGUCGUACUUGGAGCAGUACACGUCCGGGCUGUAGUUAAAUGUGCCGUCGCGCCUGCGAAGCGGUCUACGCCGACGCUGAUUUAGGAAAUGCCAAUGGAAACAGGCUCAUUCCUCGGAUCUCAGGCACGAUUCCCCAUCCCCAAUCCCAGGAGAGCCGUUCGACCCCAGACACCUUCCACCCCGCCAAGCCCAGACGCGUUCCUCGGAUCCUAGGCAUGGUUUGCCAAUCCCCGGCGCGGUCCCCAGCCCCAGAAGUGACCCCGCAAAACCCAGGUGCGUACUCCUGACCCCAGGCUCAGACCCUGUAUCUCCAAGCUCAGGCGUGACACCCACUCCGACUCCGGACGAUCCCAGGCAGCCGCCCCUCCAGAGCCCAGACGAGUUUCUGGACCUCAGGCGCGAUCCCCCUGACCCCACGCGCAGUACCCCCAUCUAGACCACAGACGCGAUCCCCCAACUUCAGUUGCGAUACUGCGACUCCAGGUGUGCCCCAGCCCACAAACCCCGGUACCAUCUCCGACCCCAGGCUGAGGCAGCCCGAGUCCAGAUGGCCGCCCUCCCCCCGAGUCCAGGUGCUGUCACCCAUCGCUGACCACAGGCGCAUUCUCGGCCGCCCCCGACCCACGACUCCAGGCGCUGUUCCCCGAUCCCCAUCCAGGCGCGUGGAUC